rnacentral:rRNA from 1 species
CCUACGGGAGGCAGCAGUGGGGAAUAUUGGACAAUGGGGGCAACCCUGAUCCAGCCAUGCCGCGUGUGUGAAGAAGGCCCUCGGGUUGUAAAGCACUUUCAGUGAGGAAGAACGCCUGGUGGUUAAUACCCAUCAGGAAAGACAUCACUCACAGAAGAAGCACCGGCUAACUCCGUGCCAGCAGCCGCGGUAAUACGGAGGGUGCGAGCGUUAAUCGGAAUUACUGGGCGUAAAGCGCGCGUAGGUGGCUUGAUAAGCCGGUUGUGAAAGCCCCGGGCUCAACCUGGGAACGGCAUCCGGAACUGUCAAGCUAGAGUGCAGGAGAGGAAGGUAGAAUUCCCGGUGAAGCGGUGAAAUGCGUAGAGAUCGGGAGGAAUACCAGUGGCGAAGGCGGCCUUCUGGACUGACACUGACACUGAGGUGCGAAAGCGUGGGUAGCAAACAGGAUUAGAUACCCCAGUAGUC